rnacentral:rRNA from 1 species
GACGAACGCUGGCGGCGUGCUUAACACAUGCAAGUCGAGCGGUAAGGCCCUUUCGGGGGUACACGAGCGGCGAACGGGUGAGUAACACGUGGGUGACCUGCCCUCAGCUCUGGGAUAAGCCUGGGAAACCGGGUCUAAUACUGGAUAUGACUCCAUGACGCAUGUUGUGGGGUGGAAAGCCUUGUGCGGCUGAGGAUGGGCCCGCGGCCUAUCAGCUUGUUGGUGGGGUGANGGCCCACCAAGGCGACGACGGGUAGCCGGCCUGAGAGGGCGACCGGCCACACUGGGACUGAGACACGGCCCAGACUCCUACGGGAGGCAGCAGUGGGGAAUCUUGCGCAAUGGGCGAAAGCCUGACGCAGCGACGCCGCGUGAGGGAUGACGGCCUCGGUGUAAC